rnacentral:rRNA from 1 species
GAUACCCCAGGUCAGGCGGCGCUACCCGCCGAAUUUACGCAUAUCAAUA